rnacentral:rRNA from 1 species
CCUACGGGAGGCAGCAGUGGGGAAUAUUGGACAAUGGGCGAAAGCCUGAUCCAGCAAUGCCGCGUGAGUGAUGAAGGCCUUAGGGUUGUAAAGCUCUUUUACCAGGGAUGAUAAUGACAGUACCUGGAGAAUAAGCUCCGGCUAACUCCGUGCCAGCAGCCGCGGUAAUACGGAGGGAGCUAGCGUUGUUCGGAAUUACUGGGCGUAAAGCGUACGUAGGCGGUUAUUCAAGUCAGAGGUGAAAGCCCGGGGCUCAACCCCGGAACUGCCUUUGAAACUAGAUAGCUAGAAUCUUGGAGAGGUUAGUGGAAUUCCGAGUGUAGAGGUGAAAUUCGUAGAUAUUCGGAAGAACACCAGUGGCGAAGGCGACUAACUGGACAAGUAUUGACGCUGAGGUACGAAAGCGUGGGGAGCAAACAGGAUUAGAUACCCUGGUAGUCCACGCCGUAAACGAUGAUAACUAGCUGUUCGGGCACUUGGUGCCUGAGUGGCGCAGCUACGACAUUAAGUUAUACCGUCCGUCGGGUAGGUACGGUCGCGAGAAUUAAACUAACAAGAAGUUAGUACGGCGUGAGACGUGCCGACGGACGACGACGAGGGAGGUAGG